AUUGAACGCUGGCGGCAGGCUUAACACAUGCAAGUCGAGCGGAGUGAUGGUGCUUGCACUAUCACUUAGCGGCGGACGGGUGAGUAAUGCUUAGGAAUCUGCCUAUUAGUGGGGGACAACAUCUCGAAAGGGAUGCUAAUACCGCAUACGUCCUACGGGAGAAAGCAGGGGAUCACUUGUGACCUUGCGCUAAUAGAUGAGCCUAAGUCGGAUUAGCUAGUUGGUGGGGUAAAGGCCUACCAAGGCGACGAUCUGUAGCGGGUCUGAGAGGAUGAUCCGCCACACUGGGACUGAGACACGGGCCAGACUCCUACGGGAGGUAGCAGUGGGGAAUAUUGGACAAUGGGGGGAACCCUGAUCCAGCCAUGCCGCGUGUGUGAAGAAGGCCUUAUGGUUGUAAAGCACUUUAAGCGAGGAGGAGGCUUACCUAGUUAAUACCUGGGAUAAGUGGACGUUACUCGCAGAAUAAGCACCGGCUAACUCUGUGCCAGCAGCCGCUGUAA
rnacentral:rRNA from 1 species